AUGCCGCUAUCACAUCCGCCACUCUUGUGUAUCGCCGGAGAAGGAAGACUGUCCUUCGUUACCAUACAAGACCACGGCGUUCUAGAGCUCUGGACCAGGCAAGAACAGAACGGCGAGUAUGAGGCGGGCUGGCAACACUCUCAGCUGACGGAUUUGGGGAGAAAAAAGAGAAUAAGCAGUGUCUUCUUUGCAGAGAGCAGAGGUGCUUUGCUCGUUAACCUAGAUGAUACAUCCAUUACCAUAGAUCUCAAGAGUAAGGAAAAAAUGCUACUAGUUGAUCUGGAGGACGAGAAAAUGAGGCAUGUUGGCAACAUAUGUUGUUUUAUGUUGCAAGGGCGUUGUAGUAGCACUUGCUGCAGAGGAGGGCACGAAUAUGAUAGGACGUGUCCAUCCAGACCCCCGGUUCUCUACGAGAUAGAUUUGGUAUUUAGCCGCCGUAUGUUACUUACCUCUUCUCAGCUAGGAGAUGAGAUAGGAGAUCGUUAA
rnacentral:rRNA from 1 species